GACAUGUCACUCCUGAAAACAUUCUGCUUUAAACAGAAGCCACUUCGCUGCUCUGACAUGAAUUUCUAUAACCAAGACAUACUCUUCGACCUAGAGAGAUCAAGGCAUGAAAAAAUGGAACUUCUCAAGGAUGAGGAAACAGACAUUGAGAGGUAAAAUAACACGACUGAAUCUAUACACUACCUGAUGGCUGAGCCGGGACUUAUCCCCAGGUCCAGUGGCUUCUA
rnacentral:lncRNA from 1 species